rnacentral:rRNA from 1 species
UACGAAGGGGGCUAGCGUUGCUCGGAAUUACUGGGCGUAAAGGGAGCGUAGGCGGAUAGUUUAGUCAGAGGUGAAAGCCCAGGGCUCAACCUUGGAAUUGCCUUUGAUACUGGCUAUCUUGAGUAUGGGAGAGGUGUGUGGAACUCCGAGUGUAGAGGUGAAAUUCGUAGAUAUUCGGAAGAACACCAGUGGCGAAGGCGACACACUGGCCCAUUACUGACGCUGAGACUCGAAAGCGUGGGGAGCAAACAGG